UACGUAGGGGGCAAGCGUUGUCCGGAAUUAUUGGGCGUAAAGCGCGUGUAGGCGGCCAGAAAAGUCCGCUGUGAAAACUCGAGGCUCAACUUCGAGCUGUCGGUGGAAACUUUCUGGCUAGAGUCCGGAAGAGGAGAAUGGAAUUCCGGGUGUAGCGGUGGAAUGCGUAGAGAUCCGGAAGAACACCGGUGGCGAAGGCGGUUAGCUGGGCAGUUGCUGACACUGAGGCGCGACAGCGUGGGGAGCAAACAGG
rnacentral:rRNA from 1 species